CUUCCAGCCUGCUCAACAAUCCACUCCCGAGCCAGAAGCUGCUCACCAAACACCCACUUUUGAGCUAGAAGUCACUCACCAUUCACCCACUCCCGCGCAUAAUGCCACAUUGGAAGUUACUCCAACCAAUUCCCCGCAUCUCUCCGACGGUGAUGUGCAUUCUUCUCCACCAUCAGACCAUGUUAUGUUUGACACUAGUGAAGCCGGGGAAAAUGCGGGGGAGAAUGUGGGGCAUCGCAAACGCUGUAGACCUGGCAUGGCGACUCCUACAUCAUAUCUUGUAACUGGACCAAGAGUAAAUAAGGGGCUGUGGGUAAACAAGAAAUUUACGCAUUCCGACGAUCACGUCAAAGCUAUCUGGGCUAAAAGAAAGAGAAAGUGAUGAGUUGUUUCCCAUUUCAUCCAUGUUUGUUGAAGAAAAGUGAAAUGUAUAUAACUUGUCUUGAUAUGCCCCGUACAUUUUAUGGCAAAUUUGUUGUUCUAAGUGAUGCUGCUUAGGGAUGCUCAAAUUAACCAACUGUAUUUGAA